rnacentral:rRNA from 1 species
UACGUAGGGGGCAAGCGUUGUCCGGAUUUAUUGGGCGUAAAGAGCGUGUAGGCGGCCACACAGGUCAGCUGUGAAAACUCGAGGCUCAACCUCGAGACGUCGGUUGAAACCGUAGGGCUAGAGUCCGGAAGAGGAGAGUGGAAUUCCCGGUGUAGCGGUGAAAUGCGCAGAUAUCGGGAAGAACACCCGGGGCGAAGGCGGCUCUCUGGGACGGUACUGACGCUGAGACGCGAAAGCGUGGGGAGCGAACAGG